rnacentral:rRNA from 1 species
CCCAGACAGCCAGGAUGUUGGCUUAGAAGCAGCCAUCAUUUAAAGAAAGCGUAAUAGCUCACUGGUCGAGUCGGCCUGCGCGGAAGAUGUAACGGGGCUAAACCAUGCACCGAAGCUGCGGCAGCGACACUGUGUGUUGUUGGGUAGGGGAGCGUUCUGUAAGCCUGUGAAGGUGGCCUGUGAGGGUUGCUGGAGGUAUCAGAAGUGCGAAUGCUGACAUAAGUAACGAUAAAGCGGGUGAAAAGCCCGCUCGCCGGAAGACCAAGGGUUCCUGUCCAACGUUAAUCGGGGCAGGGUGAGUCGACCCCUAAGGCGAGGCCGAAAGGCGUAGUCGAUGGGAAACAGGUUAAUAUUCCUGUACUUGGUGUUACUGCGAAGGGGGGACGGAGAAGGCUAUGUUGGCCGGGCGACGGUUGUCCCGGUUUAAGCGUGUAGG